ensembl:snRNA U6 U6 spliceosomal RNA
GUGCUAGCUUGGGCAGCACAUAUACUAAAAUUGAAACAAUACAUUAAAGAUGAGCAUGGCCCUUGCACAAGACACAAAUUAGUGAAGCAUUCCUUGUUUUU